rnacentral:rRNA from 1 species
GACGAACGCUGGCGGCGUGCUUAACACAUGCAAGUCGAACGGAAAGGCCCUGCUUUUGUGGGGUGCUCGAGUGGCGAACGGGUGAGUAACACGUGAGUAACCUGCCCUUGACUUUGGGAUAACUUCAGGAAACUGGGGCUAAUACCGGAUAGGAGCUCCUGCUGCAUGGUUGGGGUUGGAAAGUUUCGGCGGUUGGGGAUGGACUCGCGGCUUAUCAGCUUGUUGGUGGGGUAGUGGCUUACCAAGGCUUUGACGGGUAGCCGGCCUGAGAGGGUGACCGGCAACAUUGGGACUGAGAUACGGCCCAGACUCCUACGGGAGGCAGCAGUGGGGAAUAUUGCACAAUGGGCGGAAGCCUGAUGCAGCAACGCCGCGUGCGGGAUGACGGCCUUCGGGUUGUAAACCGCUUUCGCCUGUGACGAAGCGUGAGUGACGGUAAUGGGUAAAGAAGAACCGGCUAACUACGUG